rnacentral:rRNA from 1 species
GCCCGCCCAUGUAGCGGGGAAUGUGGUUUAAUUAGAAGCAAUGCGAAGACUGUGACCUAAGCUGGACAUCCCAAUGAGCUUUCCUUACUCGGAGAGUUCCCUUCGGGGACAUUGUGGACAGUUGGUGCAUGGUUGUCGGUAGCUCGUGUCGUGAGAUGUUGGGUUAAGUCCCGCAACGAGCGCAACCCUUGUCUGUAGUUGCCAUCAUUAAGUUGGGCACUCUAGAGAGACUGCCAGGGAUAACCUGGAGGAAGGUGGGGA